GGGGGUGGCAUGAAGGGCAGCAGUUGUCUUGCUGAGGACUGCUCUGCCUGGCUCCAGCUACACACCAGACAGCAGCUGCCACCUUGUCCCUCCUCCCUCCGGUGGGGCAUUCGCAUACUUUAAUGGAUUGUUUUUAUUAAGGCAUCCGGAAAAAAUGCAUGGAUUCAUUCUCCUUCUGGGAUGCAAACAGAGCUCUCAUGGAUGGCAAUGGAAAGAGGAGACUGGAACCAUGGCUGUUGAGCAGAUAAAGAUCAACUGGGAACGGAUAAAACCUCAAAUCCAUUGGGGACGCGUCUUCAACCACAGCAAAGCCAGCACUAACAGGAGGCGCAAUCAAUCACUCGAGUAGGAGGUGUUAGUGUCUUCACUGGGCAAAUUAUGGAUAUUCAGAAGGAACAAACGUAAAUCAAAUAAAUGCUUCUGGCACAACAACACA